rnacentral:misc_RNA from 1 species
GAUGAAGAACGCAGCGAAAUGCGAUAAGUAAUGUGAAUUGCAGAAUUCAGUGAAUCAUCGAAUCUUUGAACGCACCUUGCACCCUUUGGCAUUCCGAAGGGUAUGCUCGUUUGAGUGUCAUUGUACUCUCACACUCCCAAUUGCUUUGGAUUGGGAGCGGUGGACUUGGGUGUUGCUGCUUGACUGAGGCUCACCUGAAAUAUGUUAGUGCACCUCUUGAUUGGACAUAGUACGGGGUGAUAAGUGUCUUCGCCGGCUCCUCGCAAAGAGGGUGGCCGAUCGGGAGCUCUGUUGCUUCAAACUGUCUUCGGACAAUCUUCUGGCGACUUGACCUCAAAUCGAGUAGGACUACCCGCUGAACUUAAGCAUAUCAAUAAGCGGAGGA